rfam:Schistosoma mattheei strain Denwood, Zambia genome assembly, scaffold: SMTD_scaffold0008685
GCACUACUGAGGAGUUCCACAAUAGGACGAAACGACCGUCAAGUGC